GGUUAUGAAGCAACGAGUACAAAUACACCAUCUUCCAGCGAUGAACAGCACAACUCACCGUAACGUCUCCCUUCUCCUCCACAGCACAACUCACUGUAACGUCUCCCUUCUCCUCUGUUUCUGGGAAGUUAGGAAUUCCAAGAAAGGUGGAAAGUUUAUGGGGAUCGAUAUAGUUCUGGUAGAUGAGAAGGAUGCGGUCUACGAUGAUCCAGUGAUCGAUUAGCGUCCACCGCGUUGAACACGUUCCAACGCGAGAGGGAGGUAGUGAUGAGCUGAGUUCAUUUGAUGUGACAGAGAGCAAUCAGUACUCUCAGAGAGCCAGAAAAUCAUGGCAAGCUCAAGCUCGGCUCUUAUGAGGGUACUAUGUUUCUUGAUUAGUUAGACGGACUUAGCUGAAGCUAUAGGAGCUUCCCUCCUUCAGUCAAUAAGUGAUUACAUAUCUGACUUUGAUAUCUUUAUGAUCGCUUAUGACCGAGAGACUAAAGCCGGUGCAUGUCGAAGGAUUACCAAGCACAGUGAUUUCGAGUAUUGCCCAACUCCAAUGGAACCUGGUAGUUUCACCUUGAAGUGUUUGCUCUUCUCUCUCAGUUUCCUUAGCCAGUUAGUACAAAUGAUUAUCAUCAUGGUCAUAGACAUGUCUGGUGAAUCUAAGCCAUCCAGUAUUUCUGGAGGGGUUUCCUCGAGUCCAAAAUCCGAAUCAAAGAUUCAUGAAUUCAUAGAAAAGGCUCCAGCACGUGGUUGAUGCUUGUGGUGUGAACAAAUCACUGAAGAAUGUGGCUUUAAAGAAGGUGAUAACGUGAUCAUAGAAUAGGUGUGUAUGAGUUACUCUGAACCUUUGUUUGUUAAGUGGUUUAAA